CAACCGAAAAACGGGUAGAUGAAAGUAUUAGUUUCCAAGUGUAUUUCACAUGAUUGAUGGUGUCGUCGAAUAGAACCAAAUAAUCAAAGAAACUGUUACGUGUCUUCGAAUAGAGCUAAAUAAUCAAAGAAACUGUUGCGUUCGACACGCUAUAAUAUAGAUCAAGUCAGUCAGUCAAUCUCUUUUGGUUACAAAUAUAGAUUAGUCAAUCGUAUACAGUUUAAAGCGUGGACUGUUGUGUAUUUUUAUUAUUAUUAUUAUUAUUAGAAAAAAAAUUUCAUUCUUUUGCUCCAAAAACCCUUAGAAUGUCUAAUGCAAAAAAAAUGUAACGAUAAAGUGGAAAUUUUCAUUAUAUUCUCCUAUGUUGUGUUUCAUACGCGUUUUGAAACCCGAUGCAGAUACCGAACCAGACAACUUACCGGAUCACCGGGUUAUUGGAUCGACUGUGGAUGAACCGUGAGUUAAUUAAUUAAUCAAUUUUUAUAUAUAAUAAUAUAUUAGCUAUUGAAAAAUAUAAGAAAAUUUUUAUGUUUUAAAAGAAUUUGGAAAAAUACUUAACUUUAAUUUUUCUUUAUUUUUACUUUCAUUUUACAUGCAAAAUAUAAAAAAAACAAUUAUACUAUUUAACAAUUUUAUAAGAAGUUAAGAAUUAUGACAUAGAAUAAAAAUAUAUCAAAACUUAAAAUCUAUAAGUAUUUAAAUCCAAAAUAAACCAAAAGUAAAACACAUAAAAUUAUAAUAAAAUAUCGAUAAAAAAUAAACAAAUGUCAAAUCACAUCAACUAGUUUUGUUAAUACAUUCAUAAUCCACAUGAUUAUAUGAUCUUUUUCUUUUUGAAAAAAAAAUUAAAAUUAAUUUCUUAAUUAUAAUACAAAACAAUUUCUAAUAAUAUAAAAGAAAAAAUCCAAGAAAAAACAAUUAAAAAUUAUAUAUUGGUUUAACCGGUGGUUCAAUUGCUAGCCGGGUUCCAGGUUUUAACGGUUUUUUUGUAGAUUUUACCGGGUUCUUAAAUAGUGGGUUUUUUUUCUAAAAUCCAAACCGAAUUACAUACCAGGUCACCAGAUUUACCGGUUCGACCGCGGGUCUCGAAACACUGAUUUCAUAUUACAUUUCCUAAAUAUUUCGAAAAUCUGGUUCAGCACCGAUUUCGAGAAACAGUCACACCCACAGACUGAGAAACUGAAUCUCACACUUCCCCUUCGAGUUCAUCCGCUGACAAAGCUGAGAGAGUUGUAGAACCAGCGGUUUGGUUCCAUCGUUCCAUCAAAGUGAGAUCACUCCCUGGAAAAAGAAGUACAAAAUGAGAAAAGGUCAACAUCACCACAACUCUUGAUGACCCAACUGUUAGAGGCUUACGUGAUCGCAAAACAUGUCUAGAGCUGUCUGAACUUGCACGACCAGAAGAAGAACAUGGACUUGGACAUUCACCAGGAGCUGGUUAUGUGGAGCCUAAGCCAUCAUACCCUUCAUGGACCACCCCACAUUAAAUUUCUCACACUCACAACCAUAUAAUUCAUUCUCACUUUGAUUUUGAACCAGCUAAUAAAACUCAGCUCUAUACAUUUCUUGAAGAAGAAACUACCUAGAGCAGGAGAGAAACCUAUAUGAAUGGUUCUACUACAAAAACAUCCUGAAGAAAGAGCAAAGUAAAGUUCAUACAACCAAGACAAAUUAGUUUAUGACUGAAUCUCAGAGACACUCUUAUCAGUCAGUUUCCUUUGUAUUUAAUGAAUAAUAAUUUAUUCUUGGUCUUUGUAAAAGUGAGAUACCUGACAUCUUUCUAUGUCUUUCUUUCCAGUUUUUUAUUUACAGAUCUUUCCCCAUCUCGAGGAAGAGAAUUAUACAAGAGCUUUGCAAGUUGUA